CUAUGCAUUAUGGCAUUUGUUGAUUUCUGAAGUGUAAAUACUCACACUGAAAAUUUAAUGAUCAGCCCUCUCUAUCUAAGCUGGCUCCAACAUAGUGCUUUCUGCAUCCCAGCCAAACUCACCUACUUUCAAAUCCUAGUGUAUGCUACUCCAUUUUCCUCCCUCCCUGCCUUUACACGACUGUGUAAGGAUGCCCUCCAUCCUCCUCCCUACUUGGAACUCCCUUCAAGACAGCUCAUAUGCCAGUUGCUAUAAGAAGCCUUUCUUCAUUUCCCUUCUCCCCCACACAAUUAUUUUUAUUCACAUCUGGGUACAUUUACCUCUGCUCUGUAGAAUAGAAGCUCCUUGAGGGCAAGUCUCUAAAUUUUGCCUUUGUAGUUCUAGUUCUUGGAAUAUAGUAGUUGUUUAAUAGAGUAUAUUAAUGAAUAUUCCUCUCUUCCAGAGGUUCAUCCUGUCAUGUUUGAAAUCCUAGAUUCUGGCUCCAGCUCUGCUGCUGACCAUGUGUCUUUGGACAAGUCACUGAAGCAAUCUGGACUGCUCCCAUGUCAGUAAGGCGAGAAGCUUGGGCUCUGGGAGCUGUGAGGGACCUUUCAGUCCUAGAUUUCUGAGUACUUGGGGUGGGGAGGAGAGCACUGGAGUCACCGUAUAUGGCUCGGUUGGAAGCGCUGAGGGUGCUCGAGUCCAACCCUCCCCUUCGGUCUUUCUCGGUUGCCUGCAAAUAAACCAUAAUGUAGGAGCACAGGAUUCCAGGAUUUAGAGCUCACGAGGACUCAGGAGAGAAAGCCUCAUCAAGAAGCCUUUCCUACCUUUUGGCAAAAUAAAUCUAGGGUUUUCUGGCCUCCAGGUUUUCUGAUCUAAAGACCCACAGCUUAGGCCACAGGACCCUGGCAGAAAUCAAGCUAGCAAUUAGAACUGCAAGCAAACCAGACAGUAAGCAAGCUGGGGGAGACAGCAACAGUUGGAAGAUGAAGGACUGGGGCCCUGGGCCUUCUCUGUCUCCCAGGCAAGCCUGGGCUUGUUACCCGGGUAGGGUCUUAGAGUUUAGUGCAAGAAAGCAGAGGAAGGUGAAGGGUGUUGUUUCUAGCUCAGAGUCUUUGAAGAGCUUCUCGACUGCCAGCUCCCUAAAUGAGAAAGAAAAGAAAAGAAAUCUCGAGAAAUCCCAGCAGGAUUCUGAGGGGUGGAGCUCAUUUUUCAAAAGGCCCAGAACAAUGCUGGGGGCCUAGUUCCCAGAGCAUUUAAGGAAUGUUUCUGUCUUUGAGCGUCUAAAUUCAAGACCUUCCCCCCAAAGAACGACAAGAGCGAUGGGGAAGGCAACAACAGAGGGGUCAUCUCCAUCCCUCAGUCCUUGUUCGUUGCCGUGGUCCCUGGCAUAGAAUCAGCAAUGUUCGUUGCCCGCUUCUCUGGCUCUCUGGGAGAGAGAAGAGAGCGAAGCAGGAGAAAAACUAAAAGAUGUCAAUGAAGUGACUUGUCCAAAGAUGGACAAAGAGUCAGUAUGAGACAAACUGGGAUUCCCACCCGGCAGCUCUCGGUCUCACUGAGCCAGCUUGCCGCCAUAUUGGGCCGCCCGUGAUUUUUAUAAAAGUCCCCAGAUUUUGUAAUCUGAUAAAACUGUGUGAAUGUCUCCAUGUUGGUCUAUGGUGGGGGGCUGGUUCCUUAGUCUUUACAGUGCAGAUCUGUCUGCCACAGGUAAACAAUCUCUGCCCCGGUGCCUUCGAAGAAACAGACUGGAUCCAUGAUUUUAAUGGCGUGGAACCUCCAACCGGUUCCAGCCCACGCCUUCUCUGAAAGCUCUAACCUGAGUCGCCUAGAUUACUGAGAGGCUGAGUGACGUGUCCCAGAUGAUACAGCCAGAGUCCUCCUAAUUUUGAGACCGCUUCCCUAGGCACUGCACCACGCUGGCAUCCCCUCAAUGUUUGCUUUUCCAAGAGUAAAAGGUAUGAGUGUAGCAAGAGAACGGUUUGUGAGGAACGCCUGCAUCACGGACCUUGGCUUUGGAAGUGACCUUGACAGAUCACCAGCUGAUGACGGACCUACUGAAGCAUUCCAGGGCGGUUUUCUCCUUUUAGACAAAGCCCCGGGGCUCAGACUGUUCCAGGUCAUAUUCCCCACUUGGGGAUGUUGGUUGACUUUCACUUGGGAACUAUUUUUCCCCCCCGGAUUCUCUUUCUUAUCAAGUCUUAUGGGAUGUUUUACUAUGGAUCUCAUCACAUUACAUCAUCAUUCGUGUUUUCACAGAAUCAUCAUCAUCAUCACCACUGACAUCAUCCCAAGUGAUUUAUAAAUGGGAAGGGAUCUGUUUUUUUUUUUUUUUUUUUUAACAGAUGUGGAAACUGAGGCUCACGGGGUCCCGGUGAUUUGUGUUAGCAAAGUCGGGAUUGGACUUUAGAGCCCAUUCCCCCUCCAGGAUUUCUCCAGGUCAGAACUGUGGGAUCAUUGUCCACCCUCCCGGCUCACCUGCCCCUUGCCUCCCACCGACCUAUGAGAGAUGAGCAUUUCUAGGAUCUUCACAAGAACAGGUAAGGAAGUAAACAUAGUCCUUAGCUUGAGGAUACAGCACCAUCUGCUGGAUCACUGGCUGCUUUCACUCUUCUUUCGAGUUCAUCACUCAUCUCUACCAUAGGAGCCAGAACAAAACAAAAAACAAACAAAAAACCUGCUUGUGGAGAUCCAGAGGGCCCCAGGCAGCUUCCAUUUUUUUUUUUUUUUUUAACAAGUGAAAAAUAAGGCCUAGGAAAGUAAAAUGCCCAAGGUCACCCAGAUGAGUGACAAAAUAGGAUUCAAACUGGUCUUCUGCCUGACCGAGCCACUUUCCCGCCGGACCAGGUUUCCUUUCUCAGCUCCAGUUCCUAACCAAGGACUGAGUGUGAGGGUAUUCUACCAAUCUUGAAGAGUAAAGUUUGAUUGAUUUACUUUUUAACUCAGGAGCAAGUCAAAUUUGUUUAAUGGAACUCCUGGAGAUGUCUUCUGUUAUCUCCCCUCUCAUUAUCUGAGGGCCAAAAAUCAACUGCACAAAGACAUGCCAGAAGAUUGCCUCAACAGCUGAGAAAGAGGAGCUGGGAGCUUUAGUGGACCUCAAACCCACUACGAGCCAACGCUGCUCUGUGGUAGCCAACAUAAUGGAAAUCUACUGUGUCUCCCAAUACGUUCCUCCAAUUUUUCUACACACUUCCUCAGCAGAGUUCUGACAUUCUGUCCUAAUUUAUUCAAAAACUUGGUAAAUAUCCUGAUUGUUUGCAUGAAAUUAAGCCCUGGAAAAUAGAAAAGGAUUGAACUUGUGAAUUCAUUAAGAGUCAAAUUCAGAAUGAGGAAAUUUUCUCUGCCGGUGCUGGCUGCCAUUCUUUUGCAACUUAGCCUUUAGCUUAAUGUAGUCCUAGAGUUUCCUACAAGCCUGAGGAGUGACGGGACUUAUAAAGUACCACACUCGGUAUGUGCCAAAAGCAAGUCUUGAACCCAAGGCCUUCCUGGCUCUGAGGUCUGGCUUUCCAUCCAAUAUGGUCCGUUGUGAUAUGUCAUACAUAUUACAAACUGUUAAUAAGUACUUUGGAUUUUUAAAAAAAAUUAGAACCCAAGAGAAAUCCAAAAAGGGAAUUUUGCUUUUCUAAACUUGCCAAAGGGAGUUGUGGUAGCCUAUAAAUAAAUUGAUAGCAAAAGACAUUGAACUAUGCAAAGGCUUCAGCUGUUCUUUGAUCUCAUCAACUUGACUAUUCCAUCCAGUAAUGCAGAUUGCAGCCCAUCCAUGCUGCUCCAUUUUGGGGGAAUUUUGCUUUUCCUUUCUUACCAAUUCAAUAGAGAACCUCCUACUGUCUUUAGAGAUCUUCCCAUCCAGAUUAAAUUUUUUGAAAAAGGAGCUCUUGGUUAAGAUAUAUUUUGGGUACCCACUGAUGAGUAAUAUUAAAUGAUAUUAAUACCUCUGCAAAAAGAAAAAAAAAGAAAAUUUCCCUUCCAGAAUCCCUUUCUGAUCUACUUUGAAACAAUGAAAAUUUAACAGAACCAGUGCUAACAGAACAGUGUCUCUUUAAUGUUGCAUGUGGUGAGAGCUGCUUCCUGGGAUGGUCUUCCCAAGAGAACCCUAAGGAGGAACCUCAUUUUCUCUUAAAGGAGUCACUAGUCAUUGGUCAAGGACAAAGGCUCACAAUGGUUCAAACCAAGAUGGAGCCCGACAUUUGUGAGGAUAAAAAGGUCCAGUGCUAUCUUCUCCAAGUGACCUUUCCUGAUUCCAUAAUCAAUGCACUUCCUCUAAAUUGUGCUUAUUUGGACCAUUAAAAAAUUACUCGUGAGCACCCACUGGUGAGCAAUGGAGAGGACUGCAGUCGUUCCGAAAAGCCCUCGCACCUACUCAAUCUGCAAUGAAGCCAUUGGCUGAUGGCUUGAUCCUGCCUCCCUCUUGUGACCAGAAUGUAGACUACGCUCUCCGCUGCUAUAGUAAAAUAGAAAGUGAAGUUGCUGACUCUUUCCUGACAUCUGCGGCAAAGUAAUUCUGGACAGCUUAUAUUGAGAGAGAAAUCUGCAUCCAGCACCCAUACGGUCCCUGUAGAGUUGGAGGAUUCUAAGAGCUAGAAGGAAGCUUAGAGUCAAUCUCAACUGGUCCUUAGACAACACGAUUGCCCACCACCAGGCUCAUCCUCCAAACCUCUCAAGUUGCUGGGAUAUUCUAGAGCAUGAGGUCUACCGGUCAUGGCUCUGAGAACGCAGGGUCAUCUUCACAUUGGAAAGAAGCAACCAAGAGGAUGAAUCAGAAAUUGAUUAAAAAAAAAAAGUUUCAAUACAUAUGACUCCUGCUAUUAAAUAAAAACUUUAA